rnacentral:rRNA from 1 species
UACGUAGGGCGCAAGCGUUGUCCGGAAUUAUUGGGCGUAAAGAGCUCGUAGGCGGCCUGUUGCGUCCGCUGUGAAAUCCCGGGGCUUAACCCCGGGCGUGCAGUGGAUACGGGCUGGCUAGAGGCAGGCAGGGGAGAACGGGAAUUCCCGGUGUAGUGGUGAAAUGCGUAGAUAUCGGGAGGAACACCAGUGGCGAAGGCGACUUCCUGGCCUGUUCUUGACGCUGAGGCGCGAAAGCUAGGGGAGCAAACGGG